rnacentral:lncRNA from 1 species
CAUAAUCCCCUUAUCCAGGACACCAAUUCCCCCCAUUUCUGGAUGUACCCCUAAACUUAGGGGUACCACUUUAAAUUAUACAUCCCCUGGUAGCCCUGAUCUGGGUGAACAACAUAUCCAAAAAUCACCCAGAUCAGACCAGGGGUUCGGGAAAUUCAUGGAGGGAAUAAAAUGACCGACCGCACUGGAGAGAACAGCCGAAUGGGGUUCCAUGCGAUGGGGCUCUGCGGUCAGUCCUGGAGUCAGGG